rnacentral:rRNA from 1 species
UACGUAGGGUGCGAGCGUUAAUCGGAAUUACUGGGCGUAAAGCGUGCGCAGGCGGUUUUGUAAGUCUGUCGUGAAAGCCCCGGGCUCAACCUGGGAAUUGCGAUGGAGACUGCAAGGCUUGAAUCUGGCAGAGGGGGGUAGAAUUCCACGUGUAGCAGUGAAAUGCGUGGAGAUGUGGAGGAACACCGAUGGCGAAGGCAGCCCCCUGGGUCAAGAUUGACGCUCAUGCACGAAAGCGUGGGGAGCAAACAGG